rnacentral:rRNA from 1 species
GCAAGUCGAACGGCAGCAUGGGACUUCGGUCCUGAUGGCGAGUGGCGCACGGGUGAGUAACGCGUACACAAUCUACCUAUAAGCGGGGGAUAGCCACUGGAAACGGUGAAUAAUACCCCAUAGUAUUGAUUUUAUGAUAUAUGAUCAAUUAAAGCUCCGGCGCUUAUAGAUGGGUGUGCGUCCGAUUAGCUAGUUGGUAAGGUAACGGCUUACCAAGGCGACGAUUGGUAGGGGGCGUGAGAGCGUGAUC